rnacentral:rRNA from 1 species
UACGUAGGGGGCUAGCGUUGUCCGGAAUCAUUGGGCGUAAAGAGCGCGUAGGCGGCCAGAUAAGUCCGGUGUGAAAGUCACAGGCUCAACCUGUGAAUGCCGCUGGAAACUGUCUGGCUAGAGUCCGGAAGGGGCGAGUGGAAUUCCUGGUGUAGCGGUGAAAUGCGCAGAUAUCAGGAGGAACACCAAUGGCGAAGGCAGCUCGCUGGAACGGUACUGACGCUGAGGUGCGAAAGCGUGGGGAGCAAACAGG